rnacentral:lncRNA from 1 species
CCGAAUUAAGUUGGAAGUGCAUCCUCGAUAAUGAUAUGCAAGAGUUAUGAAUCGGCAGGUCUUUUCUUGGUGGUGUAUGGGUAAUACUCUUUGCCUGUGUCUAUUCUUGUUGUCUGACCUCCAGCAUCAAUCACAGCAGAGGUGACAGCCAGUGCUGUUCCGGCAGAAAUGGCUGUUGAGAUGCUCCUGCCUGCGAAAUGGACAGCACCUUAAUGCAUUUAUUGAACAUUAACAAGUAGACAAUCAAACUGACCGACAUUAACAUGGAUAGAGAAACCAAGCUGGAAUUCAAUAAUCCACAUAUGACAACGAGAGUCCCCUUUGUUCUCCUUUAAACUACAAGUUAUGGAAACCCUGUCCAAAACAAUGCUUUUACAUGACCCUACACCACAAAAGAUAAAAUUCAGUCCCCUCCUUCCCCUGCUCUCCACUCAAGGAUUUUAUCACAACUUAUCUUACUCAAUUCUUAUUGUCAAGUCAUUAUAGACUCCCCAGACAAACAAGCAACAGCAGUAAUGUACAAUUCAUGCAUUUCAGAAAGAAGAAUUUAAAAAUCUUAAACUAAAAGGAAACUAUAGGAUAAUCAGAAGAAUAGAUUUUUUACAUUUACAUGCCACAUAACUCCUACCACUUUAUAAAUAACAACUACGUAAACGGUUUAAGAAAAACCAAUGAGAAACAAAAAUGAUUCUAAGCAACAAAGAAGAAUGUGAGUAUAACUUUAGCACCAUUGUACGGAUGGUGGUGGAGAUCCAAAGAACCAUCACAAGCUUCAAUUUUGAAGAGGUAAAGCUUUCUAAGAAAGCCAUCAUCCAUAUCACUGAAACACAAAAAUUAACAUGAUCUGGUAUGGAUGUAGAAUAUAUACACAGUAUAGUUUUCAUUUGCCAGCCCAAAAGAGGGGUCUUUUGAGUAUCUCACAAAGUUUUCUGUACAUUAAUAUUGCAUAAGAAACAUCCAAGCUACAUCAUAUUUUCAUAAUUGGUUUCUUUACAAAUUAAUAAAAUCAGAUAGCAGGUUUUAAAAUGCACUAAAUAUUCUAACUGCCUAAAUAAAUAUUUACCUUUGAAACCAAGAAUGGAAGCCCCAGCCACAAAACCACCAACAGCACCGUUGACAAAGGAUCUUUUCAUCCUAUAAUUCUGCAACAGCUGCUCAACACCAAUAUAGACUCCGCCAAUGGCAGCAAAUGUCAUUCCAUAAUUGCCCAUCAUCUUCAGUGUCCUUACAAGCCCUGGUAAGGCAACACUUCUCUCAACACGAGGCACAUCAUACCAUGUAGCAACAACAGUUCCCCAGAUAGUUCCAGCAACAAAACCUGUAGUUGCACCCUU